rnacentral:rRNA from 1 species
UACAGAGGGUGCGAGCGUUGUCCGGAAUCACUGGGCGUAAAGGGCGCGUAGGUGGCGAUCCAAGUCGAUGGUGAAAGCUCGCCGCUCAACGGCGAGUCGGCCACCGAUACUGGGUUGCUGGAGCACUGUAGAGGCUCAUGGAAUUCCGGGUGUAGCGGUGGAAUGCGUAGAGAUCCGGAAGAACACCGGUGGCGAAGGCGGUGAGCUGGGCAGUUGCUGACACUGAGGCGCGACAGCGUGGGGAGCAAACAGG